GCAGUCCAUGCGAAUCUUGAUGACGGAUUGCAUAUCUGAACAAUAUUUACAUUUUAUUUAUUUUGUGAUACAAGUCAUAACUUGUAUCACAAAAUAAAUAAAAAUCUGUAAAUAUUGUUCAGAUAUGCAAUCCGUCAUCAAGAUUCGCAUGGACUGC